UUAUGGCCAUAUCACAUUGAAACACCAAUUCUCAUAUGAUCAUUGAAGUUAAACAACAUCAAGCCUGGUCAGUACCUAAAUGGGUGACUACUUGGGAAAUACCAGGUGAUGUA